rnacentral:misc_RNA from 1 species
AAGUCGUAACAAGGUUUCCGUAGGUGAACCUGCGGAAGGAUCAUUACUGGAUAUCCUCUUGGGGAUUAUCUUAUCACGUGUGAACUGUUUUGAUGUACACCAGUGGUGCAUUGCUACUCGGUUUCGUAUGACUCCAAGCGGACGCUGGGCAAGUAAUUGUUCAGUGGGACGUGAGGUAUCAGACGUUGCCGAAGGCGCGCACCAUUGGACUCCCGUGAUUCUUGCCGACAGCAGAUAAGACGUACUGCGAAGACACUGCGUUUCCGUGGGUACUAUUUGAAUGCUGCUCGGCGAAUCGCUGGGCUUUUUUACCCAUACAUCUGAUAUGAACCUGAAUACAAUAAAGCUUAGAAAACUUUUAGCAAUGGAUCUCUAGGCUCUU